rnacentral:misc_RNA from 1 species
CUCUUGCUAUUUCUGUAUCUAAUUGCUUAAUGUUUGUUUCUUUGCUCCAUUUUGCAAUAAUAGGUGUAGCUUAGGAUGCUUGCCUGCCCAGUAUUUUGGAAUUUCCACAGUUUGUAGAAUCCAAUUAACAAAAAUAAUCUGUGCAAGAUACUUGUUAUUGCAGAAUUUUUCUUUUUCAUCUGUCUGCAUUACUGUUCUUUUGUUUAUCCGUUUAAUUUUCUAAAUAAAUCAUAACAAGAGCCAGGUGAGAAUUUUGGUGUUGUUUUAGG